rnacentral:rRNA from 1 species
GACGCUAACAGUUACUUGCUUAAUCUUACCAUGCAGUCGAACGAUGAACCGCUUUCGGGCGGGGAUUAGUGGCGAACGGGUGAGUAACACGUGGGCAAUCUGCCCUGCACUCUGGGACAAGCCCUGGAAACGGGGUCUAAUACCGGAUAUGACCGUCUGCCGCAUGGUGGAUGGUGUAAAGCUCCGGCGGUGCAGGAUGAGCCCGCGGCCUAUCAGCUUGUUGGUGAGGUAGUGGCUCACCAAGGCGACGACGGGUAGCCGGCCUGAGAGGGCGACCGGCCACACUGGGACUGAGACACGGCCCAGACUCCUACGGGAGGCAGCAGUGGGGAAUAUUGCACAAUGGGCGAAAGCCUGAUGCAGCGACGCCGCGUGAGGGAUGACGGCCUUCGGGUUGUAAACCUCUUUCAGCAGGGAAGAAGCGAAAGUGACGGUACCUGCAGAAGAAGCGCCGGCUAACUACGUGCCAGCAGCCGCGGUAAUACGUAGGGCGCAAGCGUUGUCCGGAAUUAUUGGGCGUAAAGAGCUCGUAGGCGGCUUGUCACGUCGGUUGUGAAAGCCCGGGGCUUAACCCCGGGUCUGCAGUCGAUACGGGCAGGCUAGAGUUCGGUAGGGGAGAUCGGAAUUCCUGGUGUAUCGGUGAAAUGCGCAGAUAUCACGAGGAACACCGGUGGCGAAGGCGGAUCUCUGGGCCGAUACUGACGCUGAGGAGCGAAAGCGUGGGGAGCGAACAAGAUUAGAUACCCUGGUAGUCCACGCCGUAAAACAGUGGGCACUUAAGUGUGGGGCGACAUUUCAACGUUUGUUCCUUGCCCGCCGGCUAAAGCAUUUAAGUGCCCCCGCCUGGUGGAGUACAGGCCCCAGGGCUACAACUCCCAGGGAUUUAUGGGGGGGACCGCCCCACCGGCCGGAGCAUGUUGGUUUAAUUUCACGCCACCCCGAAGAAACCUUUCCAAGGGCUUGGAAUACCCCCGGAAACCGCCCUGGAGACAAGCACUCCCCUUGAGGUCCGGUGUACAGGUGGUGCAUGGCUGUCGUCAGCUCGUGUCGUGAGAUGUUGGGUUAAGUCCCGCAACGAGCGCAACCCUUGUCCCGUGUUGCCAGCAGGCCCUUGUGGUGCUGGGGACUCACGGGAGACCGCCGGGGUCAACUCGGAGGAAGGUGGGGACGACGUCAAGUCAUCAUGCCCCUUAUGUCUUGGGCUGCACACGUGCUACAAUGGCCGGUACAAUGAGCUGCGAUACCGUGAGGUGGAGCGAAUCUCAAAAAGCCGGUCUCAGUUCGGAUUGGGGUCUGCAACUCGACCCCAUGAAGUCGGAGUCGCUAGUAAUCGCAGAUCAGCAUUGCUGCGGUGAAUACGUUCCCGGGCCUUGUACACACCGCCCGUCACGUCACGAAAGUCGGUAACACCCGAAGCCGGUGGCCCAACCCCUUGUGGGAGGGAGCUUCGAACGCGCACGAAAACCUAU